GGCAAGAUGGCCGAGCGGUCUAAGGCGCCACGUUAAGGAAUUUCAAACCCUUAAUCUCAGUUAUCCGUGGUCCGAAAGGGCGUGGGUUCGAAUCCCACUCUUGUCA